CUGGUCACUUUGCUCACAUUAUUUUCUUUAAUUCUCACCACAGCCAUAUGGAGUAUACUAAGAUGACUACUAUACUACUACUGUUACUAUUAUUACCAUCUCCAUUGUAUAGAGAAGAAAAGUAGGUUCAGAAAAUGGACGCACACAACAAUGUGUUCAUCUCAGGGUAUGAAAAUCACAAACACUGUUCUUCACUUAGAAUGUUGAGCAAAAUAAUUAUUUUUUAGUCCUGUGAUUUGAAAGUGAGGAUACCUGGUUGGGGUUAAUCACCGGGAUUGAGGCAGGUAAGUGCAAAACCAGCCCCUGAUAAGGAAACAGAAGCACAUUUAUUUUACAUAUUUCACAUUUAUUGUAAAUUUUUCAUGGAUGUAGAAGGUGUUCUAACCAUUGCCCUGCUCUCACCUUCAGCAUUCAGUCAACAUUUUCCAAGUCAUUAUUGAGCCCCAACUUGCCUUUAGACCCUCAGCAGCACUGUGGGCCCAGCUCUGCAGGAGGCACUGUGGAACUUACUAACGAACGGGCGACAAAUCAUCGCAGGGAGCUUGUGGGGCAGAUCUGGGCACUGAACACUUCCACUCCAGGGUCUGUAGCUGCUGGGCCCAGAGGCAGACCCCAGACCAGCCUAAGUCAUUGAGAUCUGUCUCCGGGAUGGAAAGUUGGAAACAUGAGAUCAAGGAGACUUGAAGAAGCCAGAUGGUCACAAAACUUCAUCACGACUCGAGUCACUGCCCGGCCAGCCAAUGCGACUCACCUAACUUGUGCUGAGGAAGGAUCUACUGUGAAAUAAACACCACGCCAGACGCCAGAGGAAACAAAGAUGGCUAAGGUCACAGUCCCACCCUGGAGGUCUAGACCCAAGUUGGAGGAGAUGGGCAGGUAGACAAGCACAAGAGAUCAGCGCCUAGAACUGUGCCUGUGUCAAACAAAUACUUGCAGAAUCAGUGAAUGCAUCAAAGAAAACAGCAUGCUUGUGAACUCACCAACAAUGGGCAAAUCCCAGCCAUGACGGGGAAAUAACCCCUCACAUCUCACCAACCACCCAGGAGCAGCCAGUAUGUCAUCCAUGUGGGCCUGCAGCUAAUGAUCCACAUUCAGAAUUUUACGUCAUGCCCACACAGCCUUGCA